rnacentral:lncRNA from 1 species
CGAACUAUUCGAGCUUUCGCUCCGACUUCGAAACGGCGGCUAGCUAAUGGUGGCGUUUUAGGGUAGAGCGUUACGAGAAGGCGGCAGACAGAGCUCGUUGGGAGAACAGCACCUGUUGAUACUACAGUGCGUCCACGACGUAGAGCACAGAUUCAACGUCACCAACCUGUCGCACUGAUCGUCGUCAAUCUAAAUUUGCCGUUAAGAAGUGAGACCAUCGUGUCUAUGUGGGUUGUCACUGUUCUUUCGAGUCGGAAUUUCUUUCACGUUGAGUUUGGACUGCAAAGAUUGCUACGUUGCAUGAGGAAAUAGUGUGUGUGGGACAUCGACAUUUCGCAGUUAUCACAAAACAAUGGAAGUAAUUCAUGAAAGAUUUUUCGCUUACCAUGAAGACCUGAUAGCAAACGAGCCUGGGGUGGCUCAGUUAACAAGCAUCUUCACUGACUGAAGUCCUUUGUCAAAUUCGAAAAUCCUACUAAAAUGCGUUCUUUAGGUAGAUAAUGGCACGUUUGUGUGUAGCAAGCUCUUUUGGAAUAGCAGUCUUUGCUACAGAGUUUGGUCGUUUACGCCACAUUUUUACGGGGUUGUUUUAGCGGCUUCUUCAAACUCGGUACUAGAUAACUCAUAGGCUUUGAAAAUGCCGUCUUUUGCCAUAAAAAUUAUCUUUUUUUUGAGUCGGAAGUCAAGAUAAAUUUUGGUGAGCCGGACGAAACGGACCACAAUCGCCUUGUAGCGAAGCGAACUGAAAGAACCUUUUAAUGCUAGACUAGCAGUUAAUUCCGCUAAAAAAAAAAUAAAAAAUAAAAGCCGCUAUUCGUUUCCAAUGGAUAAACUGAUCCUUUUUAAUAUUACAGAAUGUGCAAUUCGCUUAUAAAUUCGAGAAAUACGUAGAAUUGUGACUGGGGCAAGAAAACUUGUUCGCCUGAGCAGCUGAAACCGCUCUAAUGACGUGAAAUAAAAGGGGGCCUCAUGAAAAAGAUCAAUCUAACAGAGCAAUUCUUUAUCGAAUACAGUCGCAGGCUCACAUUUAGUGGAAAGGUCAAACAACGGUAGGACAAACAAAGGUAGAGGAGAGCACACAUUAAUAAUCGUCCAAUGCUUCUACGUGAUAUUCCUCAGAGCUCUUUUUCCCACAGCGCUAUUCCUGAAUUGCCCUCUCUCCCACAAUGCGGAAAGUUGAUUUAAUGGAGAGAUUACUGAUACGUUGCGGUUCGGAGGAGUGGGGUGCGGGGAUAUGUCAACUCUAAUUACACUGGAUAAUCCGUCUAUGUUGAGAUUAAUCUCUAAUCGUUUAUUCUACAGACCUUUUUUGAAAUCUAUACCACUGAUUGAACUCGAGAAGAUAACAGAUUUGUCAGCAAGCCAUAGUUUUUUUUUUUGAAAUAAUUAUAAAAUUACUCUGCGAUUGGUUUGCAUAUGGAGCGAGGAAGCGUCUGAUCCUAACUUAGUUGGAUACACGUUAACUGAUGCGGUCUUGUAAUUGUAAAUUUGUUAAUAAAGUAAAUUACUGUGCUCUAAAAUCUACAAAUUAAGUGAGAAGCUAGAUAUGCUAGUCGUACCAGAUAAACUAUUAAUGAAUAUGGACGUUUUUCUAUGUGUUUUAGCUAUUGGUCGGCUGAGCUUGGCUGGACCAAAUGUAUAUGAACAUCCGUUAGGGGCAGUUGAAUUCAGUCACCAACCAAAACGAGUCUAUUUCGUAACGUUAUUCAACGUCAAUGCUAUCCAAGUUUCCUGGCAGCCCCGAAUUUAAUUAAGCAUAUCAUAUUAAUAAUGUUAUGUGCUACCGAUUC